UACGUAGGGUGCAAGCGUUGUCCGGAAUUAUUGGGCGUAAAGAGCUUGUAGGCGGUUUGUCGCGUCUGCUGUGAAAUUUCGGGGCUCAACCCCGAGCCUGCAGUGGAUACGGGCAGACUAGAGGUAGGUAGGGGAGAAUGGAAUUCCCGGUGUAGCGGUGAAAUGCGCAGAUAUCGGGAGGAACACCGGUGGCGAAGGCGGUUCUCUGGGCCUUACCUGACGCUGAGGAGCGAAAGCGUGGGGAGCGAACAGG
rnacentral:rRNA from 1 species